UUCUCUUAUUCUUGAUAUAUUUAAAUUCAUUGAAAUCACAGCUAAAUCGUGGGACUAGUUUUAUAUCACGUGGUCAUGGUAAUGGGUAUAUGGAGUAUGUUAAAGGUGAUUUCUAUUUAAGUGAAUUGAGACAAGAAAUUAAUUAUGUGUGUAAUUGAUUAAAUGGGGAAUUCUAUUAGAAUAUUAGAAUUAAUUACGAUUUUUUUUGGGAUAAAUAUUAUAAUCCACAUGGAAGCUUGUUAAUUGGGAAGAUGGGGUUUUAAAUAUACGCAUGGAACAGAUGGGAUGAUAAUGGCUGUUGAGGUGUAAAGGUCCUAAAAGCCCCAUGCGUCAAAAGGAAUAGAGUGCAUGCGUAACCUUUUUAUUCCACUUUUGGAGAAUUCACUUUAUGGAACUAAGUACUGCAUAUAUUUAAAAAGGAGCACAACGUAGCAAUUCUUUCUUGGAAGCAAUCUUUCAAGGUAAGUCCGACAAAUUCCUAGACAAAAAAAAAUGGACAGUGACGUGAACUUCCAAAUCAACUAGCAAUGCCCUUCUUAAAUACACAGUAACAACCUUUCGUUUGUGCAACAUAGCAGCUAUUUUGUCCUAAUAAAUAUCAAGUCAAGUUCAAUUCCAUUGACGUGAUGAUACUAAUAUCAAUUUCCUCCGGUGCUGGCAAAUUGAAGAAUUUUUCGAAGUGAAGUAAAGUGGAAAAAGAAUACUUCUUGGUAUAUAAGGCUAAAAGAGCGACGAGACGAACGGGUUACGAAUAGCCGCUAACAGGUAUGUAAAGCGCAACCCUUCUUUCUUUUGGCAUGCCUUAGUUUUCAAUAGGCUAUAUCACGAGCCUCGAGGAAAUUCCAAAUUCGAAAUCCGAGCACGUUAUGAUCCUUAUAUAUAUUUCUUGGCAUUCUUAUGUAUGUUGUGAUGAAGUAUGAACCAUUAUGUCUUCGAAAGCAUUGAUUUCCAAACUUUGUACAAAAAGUUGUUUUAAAGAAUUCCGUAACUACGAAAUGCCAUAUCUUUCGCAUAAAGGCUCGGAUUGCUCCAAUAUUUUUAUAGGAGUUUGCAUGAUGUAUAAUGAGUAUGUUUUCCAUAGGCGGGCCCGUCUCGGGUCAAUACCCGUCCGUGGGUCCCGCGACUUUCCUUUAUGUAAUUCGGACGACUUUUGAAAGAAUUUGGUAUGAUUAUCAUUUCGAAUUUCAAGUAUGGUCAUUUACUUAUAUUUGAGUCUAUGAUAAUGAUUUUAUGCAUAUGGUUACUCAUGACUCUACUCGUGCGUUUUGUUAUAUCUUUCGCCGGUUCCCGGGCCGGUUCUGUUAUCGUGCGCACUUUGAUAUACUCCGGAGUUAUGCUGUGUUUAUGGUUCAUCGAGCUACUCGCAAAAGAGGGUCGGGUUCCACCUAUAUUUGGUGUUAUGCUGUGUAUGGCGUUAUGUUGUGAUGUGAUAUGUGACGGGGAUACGGAGAUUUGAAACUUUCUGGUGUUAUGCUGUGUUAUGGCGCCAUCGACGGGUGGGCGACCAUAUUCUUCUGUACCCUAUGCAUUACUUACAUAUUUUUGAAAGUAAGCAAAUUUUGAUAUGUUGGAUUUGCACUUAUGUUUGGUACUUCCAUUUCGUUUAUGUCUCAGAUUUGCUUUCUGUAUAUUCUGCUUUGCAUACUCAGUACAUAUUUCGUACUGACCCCCUUUCUUCGGGGGGCUGCGUUUCAUGCCCGCAGGUACAGACGCACAGUUUGGUGAUCUACCCAUUUAGGACACCCUCUUCUGCUGUUUGGAGUGCUCUUCUCAUUUCAGAGCACACAUUUUGGUAUAUAUUCGUUCGCUAUGUAUAUAUGUAUUUGUUCAGGGGCACGGCGGGGCCCUGUCCCGCCAUAUGAUUCGGUUUGUCUAUUUAGAGGUCUGUAGACGUAUUUGUGGGUGUGUGUGUGCCUACUUCUGUACAGAUGUGUUUGUAUGACCCCAUUCGUUAUAGCAGCCUUGUCGGCGUGCACUUUGUAUAUGUUUUGGGCCGUUGCGCCAUCUGUUAGCCUUGUCGGCUUUUGAUACAUUUGAUAGCCUUGCCGGCUUUUUGAUAUAUAUAUAUGUCCGCAUAUGGUUGCGUUGAAA